UGACAAGAUCUUCUUUCUUGAUAAAAUUCAUGUUUUGAACAAAAAUAAAAAUUACUCGAGCUACCGUAUUAUCAAUCUUCGAGACGAAAAUUCUUUUGACAAUAUCACAGAGUUCACCCGUUCCUUUAUAGCUCAUCUUCAAACUUAACCUCAGGAAUUUCAUUUCUUGACGAUAAAAAAAAUGGAAAUCCUCAAGUUAU